UCAUUUCAUAGUACUUCACUCAAUUUCAAUCCCUUCAAACAAUGUGCGAUGUAAUCAUCUUUGACUAAGAAUCGAAAGCUGAAGUAUAAGGACUACUCCCAGUUCAAAGAGUCUGAAUUGUCAGAGUUUAAUCACUGGUCAAUCCAUUUGAACAAGGGACACUGCAGAUGCUGGGACUGACUCAGGUCACAUUGUUGUCUGUUUAGCUCAGAUCUGGAAUGCACUGAGGCGGAGGUACAUCUGACUUGGAAAGAAUAUUAUCCUGCAAUGCACCUGGCUGGUUUCUGCAAGUGACCAAUCAUAGGGGAACUGAGGAUGAGAUGUCAACAUCUACCUGCUCACCUACCUUCUGGACUUUUGUGGUACAGUGGUAAUGUCCGUAACUCUGAGCCAGAAGACCUGACUUCAAGUCGCACCUGCUCCAAAAGUGUGUCAUAACAUCUCUAAACAGGCUAAUGAAGAAAUAUCUAACCCAACGGCACUGAUUCAUGACUUCAUCUUCUCUGCGCCUCCAGUCGCUGCUGUUCGACAUCGUCCCCAGGAUCCUGGCAAUGUGCUCCUUUCCUGCCGCCAUCACUUCCGCAGCCACCUCUGAGCUGGGGAUGGUCACCCUGGCUCAUCUUCCAAUGUACCAGUCAAGAUGGAGCAGGGAUGGGGAUACAUGGGGACCCAGGCCUCCCAAGGGAGGAGGCCCCAGGGUGAACAAAACAAAAAACAUUACCGAGCUAGAAAGCCAACCAUAACACUGUGUGGAUGUGGCAGCAUUUAUUGCAUGAGCCAUGAGCAGCCUAUCCCCGAGCUCAGGAGCAAUAAGCUACUGAUCCCACCACCACCAUCUUGACAAUUAGCCGUAACAUUAUAUUCUGCAUUCUGUUCUAUUACCCUGGUGUACUUAUGUAAGGCAUCAUUUGUCUGCAUAACUAGCAAAAUAGUAUCUUGAUACAU